rnacentral:rRNA from 1 species
GUAUUGGCCUACCGUGGCAAUGACGGGUAACGGGGAAUUAGGGUUCGAUUCCGGAGAGGGAGCCUGAGAAACGGCUACCACAUCUAAGGAAGGCAGCAGGCGCGCAAAUUACCCAAUCCUAAUACAGGGAGGUAGUGACAAGAAAUAACAAUACAGGACUUUUUGGUUUUGUAAUUGGAAUGAGUUAAGUAUAAACCCCUUUACAAGUAUCAAUUGGAGGGCAAGUCUGGUGCCAGCAGCCGCGGUAAUUCCAGCUCCAAUAGCGUAUAUUAAAGUUGUUGCAGUUAAAAAGCUCGUAGUUGGAUUUCUGUUAAUAAUUUAUAUAAAAUAUUUUGAUGAAUAUUUAUAUAAUAUUAACAUAAUUCAUAUUACUAUUUUUUUUUAGUAUAUGAAAUUUUACUUUGAGAAAAUUAGAGUGCUUAAAGCAGGCAUAUGCCUUGAAUACUCCAGCAUGGAAUAAUAUUAAAGAUUUUUAUCUUUUUUAUUGGUUCUAAGAUAAGAAUAAUGAUUAAUAGGGACAGUUGGGGGCAUUUGUAUUUAA